AAAAGCAGGAAGCAAGUGGAGUACCAAAAAUGUCCCCAGACUGAAAGCCCAACGCUCCUCGCGGCCGACGUCGUGGGUAGGUGUGACGCUGGAUAAAUAGGAGAUUAUAAUGUCUUGCACUUGCAGAGAGAGAUGCCAUUUCUUCAGUUCCAGUGAGGACUGAAGUGCUUUUUCAAUGUGGCAAUUAUUUGCCGCAGCUGUUGCGGCCUCCACCGGACUCCUCGCCGGAAAACACAUCUUCUUCAAGCCCACCGCCGUUCCCGAUCACAAUUCGGAGCCUCCCCAUCCAGACCCCAAUAACCCCUCCUCCGCCUCGCCAUUUCAGUCUCAGCCGCCUCCGUGGGAGAUCAACGACUUCGAGGAGCAGCGAGAAGGGACCAUCUUUAGGUUUUCGAGCGAGGCGGCGUCGGGUCAGGGCAGGAGUGGGACCCAGUUUUUGAUGAGGAUGAAAACCGGUUCAACCGGGUCGAAGAAGAAGAAAGGGGUUGAUGCUGAGGCUGAGAGAUCUAAUGGUGUGGAACAGAGGAGGACUGCUAGGAGAGGGGUUGGUGUUUGCUUGAAGAGGAGGAAGACUGGGAAGAAUGUAGCUGCUGCCAAAUGUGGAUCGUCUUCUUCCAAAGAUUCGACGUUUUUUAGUUGGGGGCUUAAUGUUGGGAUCAUGUACGUGAUGUCUGCUGGAAAAGUCCAAUUUUACUGUAUCUGAGGAUGCGGAAUGUGCUAGUAGUGUCCUUACGGAGGAGCAGGACCCACAUUCCGAAGUAAUGGACAUGGAUUAAUUAGAAGCAGAACUUGAGUCUGAAUUGCAAAGACUUACAUGGUGCGCUACAAAUACUCCUCGCCAUGAGGGAUUGAGUAAUCUGAGUCAGGACAUUGUCUCUGAAGUUACAGCUCAAGGGUUUCAUGACCUAGAGGGACAGUGUUUCAUUACUCAGGAGUUCCAUGGAGUAUUGCCAGCUCAACUAGAUCAGAAACUAUGCCAUGUGCUCAUCGAACAGCAGGAAAGCCAAAUUGUGGAGCUGGAAUCUGAACUGCAUUCAGCCCAAUCAAAACUCCAACACAAAGAAACUGAACUGGAAACAUUGAAGGACUGUGUUAGACGCUUAACCGAGUUAUCGGUUGGAAAUG